rnacentral:rRNA from 1 species
AACGAACGCUGGCGGCAUGCCUAACACAUGCAAGUCGAACGAGACCUUCGGGUCUAGUGGCGCACGGGUGCGUAACGCGUGGGAACCUGCCUUUAGGUUCGGAAUAACUCAGAGAAAUUUGAGCUAAUACCGGAUGAUGUCUUCGGACCAAAGAUUUAUCGCCUUUAGAUGGGCCCGCGUUGGAUUAGCUAGUUGGUGGGGUAAAGGCCUACCAAGGUGACGAUCCAUAGCUGGUCUGAGAGGAUGAUCAGCCACACUGGGACUGAGACACGGCCCAGACUCCUACGGGAGGCAGCAGUGGGGAAUAUUGGACAAUGGGCGAAAGCCUGAUCCAGCAAUGCCGCGUGAGUGAUGAAGGCCUUAGGGUUGUAAAGCUCUUUUACCCGAGAUGAUAAUGACAGUAUCGGGAGAAUAAGCUCCGGCUAACUCCGUG